UUUGUUUUUGUUUGUUUUUUUGUUUUUUUGUUGCUUAGGCUGCUUAAAACUAGGCCAUUAUAUUAUAAUGCAGUAGACACUGCUUUUCAUGUAUAAAAGAUAAGUUAUUUUACUUUACAGGUUUUGACAUGACAAAGCACAUCAGAGUUUAUGAUAACACCAAUCAAUAUCUGACAAUACACAACCGUGACAUGGAAAUUCUGAAAGAUGCUUUUAGAAAUAUUGCAUCCUUGGACAAUUGGACUGUGUCUAGUCCACAGCAAUGGCAGAGAGACGAUGGAAGGAACUGUGGUGUUUUCGUAUGCACAAUGGCAGAGAUGGAAGCUAAAAGUAUUAAAAUGUGCCACGAAAUUCUGCACACUGAACAGAUGGGAUACCUUCAUCUUUACCAUGCCUCAUGCAUGGUGAAACAUCUGCAACCAGAGGACUUUCCACCCAAAGUCAAAAUAGUCCAGACCAGCUGUAUGGCCCAUGUAGGAGUUUGCAUUUAUCAAAAAUAUUGAUCAAAAGUAAUGCACCCACGAAUCCAGUCAGUGGACUGGAUUCAAUAUGACCUCUGCAAAAAAUGCCUGCAUUCUGACUGCGCAUGUAUCAGCCUUGAAACGAUCACAGAGGAAACAUCAUUCAGAUGUGGAUGUGACACUAACCAUGUGCAUACCUUUGAGAAGUACGUUAUACUUUAAAUUAUAUAUUUUUUUAUUAAAAAGUACAAUAUAUGUUUAAUACUACUUUGAUUUGACAGAACAUUGGCACUACUGAAGAAGGGCUGGUUGGUUGACAUUGUAAUACAGGAUCAAGACGUGUGUGUAGGAUGGCCGAACUUAAGGCCCGGGUACACUUCACAUUCAGCGUUCCUUUCUGUCUCGCACACAGCCACGUCUGUACCGCUUUCAAAAACUGGCUGUUUUUUGCCUUAUUGCAACUCUCUGUUCUGGACUUGCACAAACUGUAUUGCAAUGCAAUCAUUUUCCAAAAUGUCAUUAAUGUGAAAAUAUGAAGUCUGUUGACGCCCGUUAACACAGGCCAGAGACGCUGAAGACGGACGCACAGCGAAAAAUACCGUAGCAGGCAGAUCACUCAAUGUUCAUGAUGCACGAACUAUUGGAAGAAAAUCCUUAAUAUUGAUUUGGGGGUUUAUAUGAAUGUGUUUCUGAGGGGAGCUGACUGUCUUCUGAAAAGUUUACUUAAUAUAAUUUCACAAAGCUUGUCAGAACAUUCUGUUUUUGCUUCAAAUUGGGUUAUUAUUAAAUCAAAUUGUGUAUGAUUAUUAUUAUAUAACUAAAUGAUAUGAAAUUAUAUAAAUGAUAUGUAUAUGAAUUAUAUAACUAAAAUUAAAUAACUGUAAUUACAGAUUUAGGUUAAAUAAAGAUGUCAGUCUUUAAACCUCGCGCUCUCUCUUGUGAAGCCAAUAAGGAAUUAGACUAAAACUGUAAUUCAUCGACUGGCCGCUUGAGGCUGGCUGCAAAAGGGAGUCAGUCUCAUAGACUCCCCAUGUUAAAAUGCCCAACUUUACAGCAGAAAAAACAUGUUUACAGCCUGGUUCAAAAAAUGAUUUUGGUCUAUAUUGCUAAUUUUGCCCUUCAUGACAACUGUGAGGGGGGGUGAAUUUUUUUAUAACUCAUCCGUUUAAAUUAUAUUAAGCCUUAAAAGUUCUGCAUAAUUAAGGGCGUGGCCACUUGAGUGACAGGUGGAUUGCCGCUGCUGACAAUGCCGUCGCACUAGGUGGGCGUGGCUUCAGCAACCAGCUCCCGCCUUUUUGCCCAUUUUCGAUUUUCCGGGAGAGUCGCGCGGUGACGCGCUGCCAAGAUGGUGACGGCCCGCUCUGCACACUUUGAGCUUCAAAAACCGAUAUUGAGUAGUCUAUGGGUGACGUCACGGACACUACGUCCAUAUUUUUUUACAGUCUAUGGUUAU
rnacentral:lncRNA from 1 species